GUGCCUUGUAAGGCUGAUGCAGUGCCCAAGGUGGCUGCACAGGAGGGUAAGUCUCCACAAAACCCAGAGAAGAGAUUCUGCAACUCCUCUUUGGAUCCUGUCUGGAGUCACAGUG
ensembl:snoRNA small nucleolar RNA SNORA26